AACAUUAUCAACCUAUACAACUAAACACAACAUUAUCAACCUGCUACAACAUUAUCAACCUAUACAACUAAACACAACAUUACCAACCUGCUAAAACUCAACACAACAUUACCAACCUGCUACAACUAAAUACAACAUUAUCAACCUGCUACAACAUUAUCAACCUGUACAACUAAACACAACAUUAUCGACCUGCUACAACUAAACACAACAUUAUCGACCUGCUACAACUAAACACAACAUUACAACCUGCUACAACUAAACACAACAUUAUCGACCUGCUACAACUAAACACAACAUUAUCGACCUGCUACACAGAGAGGAACCAAGCAUAAAUGUCUUUUUCCAUUGAUUGAAAAUAGCUGUCACUGCAGGGGGAUGUUUGUAGCCAUCUUUUCAUUUUAUUUUCUCCUUCAUGUGGGAACAUCUAUAAUAUUAGACCCAUCUCUUUAUUCUCUUGAAUGACCUGUACAGACCAGGGUCUGUACCGACCCCGAGCUGGACUGAGGAGGUUUUAUACAGACCAGGGUCUGUACCGACCCCGAGCUGGACUGAGGAGGUUUUAUACAGACCAGGGUCUGUGAUCAACCAAGAUGGACUGAGGAGGUUUUAUACAGACCAGGAUCUGUACCGACCCAGAACUGAACUGAGGAGGUUUUAUACAGACCAGGGUCUGUACCGACCCAGAGCUGGACUGAGGAGGUUUUAUACAGACCAGGGUCUGUGAUCAACCAAGAUGGACUGAGGAGGUUUUAUACAGAUCAGGGUCUGUAUCGACCCCGAGCUGGACUGAGGAGGUUUUAUACAGACCAGGGUCUGGACUGAGAAGGUUUUAUACAGACCAGGGUCUGUACCGACCCAGAACUGGACUGAGGAGGUUUUAUACAGACCAGGGUCUGGACUGAGGAGGUUUUAUACAGACCAGGGUCUGUACCGACCCAGAACUGGACUGAGGAGGUUUUAUACAGACCAGGGUCUGUAUCGACCCAGAGCUGGACUGAGGGGUUUUAUACAGACCGGGGUCUGUACCGACCCAGAGCUGGACUGAGGAGGUUUUAUACAGACCAGGGUCUGUAUCGACCCCGAGCUGGACUGAGGAGGAUUUAUACAGACCAGGGUCUGUACCGAGCUGGACUGAGGGGUUUUAUACAGACCAGGAUCUGUACCGAGCUGGACUGAGGAGGUUUUAUACAGACCAGGGUCUGUACCGACCCAGAGCUGGACUGAGGAGGUUUUAUACAGACCAGGGUCUGUACCGAGCUGGACUGAGGAGGUUUUAUACAGACCAGGGUCUGUAUCAACCCCGAGCUGGACUGAGGAGGUUUGAUACAGACCAGGGUCUGUACCGACCCAGAGCUGGACUGAGGAGGUUUUAUACAGACCAGGGUCUGUACCGAGCUGGACUGAGGAGGUUUUAUACAGACCAGGGUCUGUACCGACCCAGAGCUGGACUGAGGAGGUUUUAUACAGACCAGGGUCUGUAUCGACCCCGAGCUGGACUGAGGAGGUUUUAUACAGACCAGGGUCUGUACCGAGCUGGACUGAGGGGUUUUAUACAGACCAGGGUCUGUACCGAGCUGGACUGAGGAGGUUUUAUACAGACCAGGGUCUGUACCGACCCAGAGCUGGACUGAGGAGGUUUUAUACCUGGUCUGUGUUCAACCAAGAUGGAAGAGGAACGACUCAAACAUCCGAAUCUUAGUGCCAAGGUUACCGUGGAAACAGAGGAGGGGAACUGAUUUGUCUAAG
rnacentral:lncRNA from 1 species